rnacentral:misc_RNA from 1 species
AACUUUUCGAAACGGAUCACUUGGCUCUCGCAUCGAUGAAGAACGCAGCGAAAUGCGAUACGUAAUGUGAAUUGCAGAAUUCAGUGAAUCAUCGAAUCUUUGAACGCACAUUGCACUCUCUGGUAUUCCGGAGAGUAUGCUUGUUUGAGUAUCAGUAAACACCUCAAAUCUCUUUUUUAUUAAAGAGAAUUGGACUUGAGCAAUCCCAACUCUUUGCAAAAGGAGGCGGGUUGCUUGAAAUGCAGGUGCAGCUGGACAUUCUUCUGAGCUAAAAGCAUAUUUAUUUAGUCCCGUCAAACGGAUUAUUACUUUUGCUCUAGCUAAUAUAAAGGUCGAAUGUGCUAUAUGCUGACUGAUGCAGGAUUACCAAGUUUUACUAGCUAAAACUUGUAAACUCGAUCUCAAAUCAAGUAAGACUACCCGCUGAACUUAAGCAUAUCAAUAAGCGGAGGCU